GAGCACGUAGGUGGGUUUGUAAGUCAGAGGUGAAAGCCUGUAGCUCAACUCCAGAACUGCCUUUGAGACUGCAUCGCUUGAAUCCAGGAGAGGUGAGUGGAAUUCCGAGUGUAGAGGUGAAAUUUGUAGAUAUUUGGAAGAACACCAGUGGCGAAGGCGGCUCACUGGACUGGUAUCGACGCUGAGGUGCGAAAGCGAGGGGAGCAAACAGGAUUAGAUACCCUGGUAGUCCACGCCGUAAACGAUGAUAACUAGCUGUCCGGGCACUAAGUAGAGGGG
rnacentral:rRNA from 1 species